GGACAUGAAAACACGGCCCGGUUGGUAGUCCGGGCGCGAGAGUCGCCCUUUGAGCCGAAGUAGCCCGGUUUCGCAAGGAUUCCCGUCAGUAACCUGCCUCCUUGGUUGUCCAUUUUCCG
rnacentral:ncRNA from 1 species